rnacentral:tRNA from 1 species
GGGGGUGUGGUGUAGUGGUUAACACGUCGGCCUGUCAAGCCGAAGAUCGCGGGUUCGAUCCCCGUCGCUCCCG